rnacentral:tRNA from 1 species
GGAGAGAUGGCCGAGUGGUUUAAGGCGUCGGUCUUGAAAAUCGAUAUAGUUUUUACGACUAUCGAGGGUUCGAAUCCCUCUCUCUCCU